GAGUGUGUCUGUGUGUGAGUAUGUGUGUCUGUGUAUGAGUGUGAAUGUGUAUUAGUGUCUCUUUGUGAGUGUGUGUCUGUGUGUGAGUGUGUGAGUGUGUGUCUGUGUGUGAAUGUGUGAGUAUGUGUGUCUGUGUAUGAGUGUGAAUGUGUAUGAGUGUGUCUGUGUGUGAAUGUGUGUGUGAGUAUGUGUCUGUGUGUGAAUGUGUGUGUGAGUAUGUGUCUGUGUAUGAGUGUGAAUGUGUAUGAGUGUGUCUGUGUGUGAAUGUGUGAGUAUGUGUGUCUGUGUAUGAGUGUGAAUGUGUAUGAGUGUGUCUGUGUGUGAAUGUGUGUGUGAGUAUGUGUGUCUGUGUAUGAGUGUGAAUGUGUAUGAGUGUCUGUGUGUGAGUGUGUGUCUGUGUGUGAGUGUGUGUGUAGGUCAGAAUACAACCUUGGAUUUUCUUGGGCUUUGUUCCUUCAUAGUUGCCCAUUUGUUGUUUGACACAGUCUCUCGGUGAGACCUAGGGUCUCUGACUAGGCUGGGCUGGCUGGACAGCAAGGGACAGGGACAUUUUCCUCCCCUGGAUACGUGUCACCAUGCCCAGCAUUUUGUGUGAGCAAAUCAAACUCAGGUCUUCUUGCUUCUGUGGCAGUCACUUUACUGACUAUGUUAUCAUCC
rnacentral:lncRNA from 1 species